rnacentral:rRNA from 1 species
CAAGCCUGAUCCAGCCAUGCCGCGUGAGUGAAGAAGGCCUUCGGGUUGUAAGCUCUUUCGGCCGGGAAGAAAUCGUGGUCUCUAACAUAGGCCAUGGAUGACGGUACCGGACUAAGAAGCACCGGCUAACUACGUGCCAGCAGCCGCGGUAAUACGUAGGGUGCGAGCGUUAAUCGGAAUUACUGGGCGUAAAGCGUGCGCAGGCGGUUUUGUAAGACAGAUGUGAAAUCCCCGGGCUUAACCUGGGAACUGCGUUUGUGACUGCAAGGCUAGAGUACGGCAGAGGGGGGUGGAAUUCCUGGUGUAGCAGUGAAAUGCGUAGAGAUCAGGAGGAACACCGAUGGCGAAGGCAGCCCCCUGGGCCUGUACUGACGCUCAUGCACGAAAGCGUGGGGAGCAAACAGGAUUAGAUACCCUGGUACGUCCACGCCCUAAACGAUGUCGACUAGUCGUUCGGAGCAGCAAUGCACUGAGUGACGCAGCUAACGCGUGAAGUCGACCGCCUGGGGAUAC